UUGCUCACUUUGGCAGAUGCCCUGAAACUGAAGCAAUACACAGAAGAUAAACAUGGCCCCUGUGCAAGGAUGACAUGCCGAUUCCUGAGGCAGUCUGUAUUUUA